GCUUUACAGAUUAUUAAGUUUUUUGCAAAAUAAAUAAAGAUUUGAUCUUGUUGUUCUGUUUUGUUGGGGCGACAUAAAUAUAAAUAUAUUAACUGUUUAAAAGUAAAAACAAAAAUUUUUGAUAGGUAAUUGAUCCUUGUUAAAGAUUAGAAGAUCAAGUU
rnacentral:rRNA from 1 species